UAUCCAGAAUGGAAAAUUAUUGUCUACCACUGAUUUUUAUAUAACUAUUAACUUGUAGGCAGUUAUCUGUUUGGAUGGUGAUGGUUGCAAGUUAAGAAGUGGACUGGUGAAAAUCAAGGAAGGUUUAACUCUUGACACGUUAAUUGCUUGUGAUUCAUGUGAUCUUUGCAAGAUGACUCUCAUGCACCAUCUCUGCAAGAAAUUUCAGCCACUUGAAGGUCAAAUCCAUAAAAAAUGCUUCGAUCAUAGUCGAAUGUGAAAGGUUCAGUGACCCCAUCAGGGACCGACACUCAAAUCGAGCCGAAGAGCCCGGCUUCUCUUUGCAUUCCAUAGUGUGCAUGGUAAAGGUAUGUUCCUGGCUGCAAUAUGUUUAAAGGAGUAAAGGUGAUUUAGAGACCUUACUAAUCCAAUCCUCAAUUACAAAGAUAACAAGCUGUAUGAUAGCCAUGGCAUAUAUUGCUGUAUGCAAUGGAGAGCGUUCAAAUCACUGACCUGAUUCUGGAUGGAGCAGAACCAAAGUAAGUUAUAUGG